GACGAACGCUGGCGGCGUGCUUAACACAUGCAAGUCGAACGGAAAGGCCUGCUUUCCCUUGUGGAUUGCGGGUACUCGAGUGGCGAACGGGUGAGUAACACGUGAGUGAUCUGCCCCCAACUUGGGUAUAAGCCUGGGAAACUGGGUCUAAUUCCCGAUAGGGCUGCAGGGUGGUGCCUGUGGUGGAAAACGAUUUUCUAGUGGUUGGGGAUGAGCUCGCGGCCUAUCAGCUUGUUGGUGGGGUAAUGGCCUACCAAGGCGGCGACGGGUAGCCGGCCUGAGAGGGUGGACGGCCACAUUGGGACUGAGAGACGGCCCAGACUCCUACGGGAGGCAGCAGUGGGGAAUAUUGCACAAUGGGCGGAAGCCUGAUGCAGCGACGCCGCGUGGGGGAUGACGGCCUUCGGGUUGUAAACUCCUUUCGACCGCGAGGAAGCCACCUGGUUGGAAGGGUGGUGACGGUAGUGGUAGAAGAAGCACCGGCUAACUACGUG
rnacentral:rRNA from 1 species